rnacentral:rRNA from 1 species
AUUGAACGCUGGCGGCAUGCUUUACACAUGCAAGUCGAACGGUAACAGGUUAAGCUGACGAGUGGCGAACGGGUGAGUAAUGCAUCGGAACGUGCCCGGUCGUGGGGGAUAACGCAGCGAAAGCUGCGCUAAUACCGCAUACGAUCUAAGGAUGAAAGCGGGGGACCGUAAGGCCUCGCGCGAUCGGAGCGGCCGAUGUCAGAUCAGGUAGUUGGUGGGGUAAAGGCUCACCAAGCCAACGAUCUGUAGCUGGUCUGAGAGGACGACCAGCCACACUGGGACUGAGACACGGCCCAGACUCCUACGGGAGGCAGCAGUGGGGAAUUUUGGACAAUGGGCGAAAGCCUGAUCCAGCAAUGCCGCGUGCAGGAAGAAGGCCUUCGGGUUGUAAACUGCUUUUGUACGGGGCGAAAAGGUCUCCUCUAAUACAGGGGGCUCAUGACGGUACCGUAAGAAUAAGCACCGGCUAACUACGUGCCAGCCGCCGCAGUAA